ACGCUCGACACCUACGGGNGGCAGCAGUGGGGGAUAUUGCACAAUGGAGGAAACUCUGAUGCAGCGACGCCGCGUGAGGGAAGACGGUUUUCGGAUUGUAAACCUCUGUCUUCAGGGACGAAAUGAAUGACGGUACCUGAGGAGGAAGCUCCGGCUAACUACGUGCUAGCAGCCGCGGUAAUCUGAGCGGGCUGGCAAGGC
rnacentral:rRNA from 1 species